CGUGAUGCCUAUGGUAGACUUAUUUUGGGUGAUAUCAUAACAUCUGUGAAUGGAAAAAAAGUUACAAAUGGCAGUGACUUGUACAGAAUUCUUGACCAAUGUAAAGUAGGCGAUCAGGUGAUUGUGGAGGUGUUGCGUGGGGAUCACAAGGAGAAGAUUCCAGUAAUACUUGAGCCAAAGCCUGAUGAGUCGUGAAAGGUAUGGCAAGUAGAAAUAGUUGGGUACAUAUACAAGGG
rnacentral:misc_RNA from 1 species